UACGGAGGGGACUAGCGUUGUUCGGAAUUACUGGGCGUAAAGAGCUCGUAGGUGGUUUGUCGCGUUGUCCGUGAAAACUCACAACUCAAUUGUGGGCGUGCGGGCGAUACGGGCAGACUGGAGUACUGCAGGGGAGACUGGAAUUCCUGGUGUAGCGGUGGAAUGCGCAGAUAUCAGGAGGAACACCGGUGGCGAAGGCGGGUCUCUGGGCAGUAACUGACGCUGAGGAGCGAAAGCGUGGGGAGCGAACAGG
rnacentral:rRNA from 1 species